AAUUUUUAUUCCGUAGCUACUUGUAAUGAAUCUGUUAUAUACUGUAAUUAGAUGUGUUUUAGAUGCUUUAAAUUUUAGUAUAGCAAGCAUAAAAUCUUUCUCAAGGAUAAGAAAUUUUUCGUCUUGUCCUCUGGGACUUGAAUGUCAGUUAAGGCUAAUGUGUUAUCGGCUGCAGGCUAUACAUUUCUUGUUCCACAUCUUUUCCUUCCAUCUGGCUUCUAGCUCCUUAACUUUUGACGAUCAACUGCAUCGCUUCUAAAGUCGAAUGAGCUGAGAUAUGAGUCAUGUCGUCCGAGUAAACUUGGACAACAUGUUUGCUAGGUAAAAUGACGUUGAUAUGACACAAGUAAAAUCAGAGUGAAUAAAAUUACCACUUUUUUUUUUUUUUUUAAGUUUUUCUUUUAUUAUUGGCAGAUCUACU
rnacentral:lncRNA from 1 species